rnacentral:lncRNA from 1 species
UGAGGAGGACUGUGAGGUGAGCUAAGGAGAGGAUGUCAGCUUCCAAUUGUAAAAGUCAAGUGGUCCCAGGUAUUUUGCAAGAGGACCCCGUGGGAGCCAAUCCCGUGACGGAGUGAAGGUGAACAAAGGCCAUGGCCAGACUGAGCCCCAAGUAGUGCAGAAGAUCAGUCACACCUUUCUUGUCAAGGCUUUUCAUAGUAUUCACACCCACAGGUUCUCUCUUACCGCCAGCGAGGCCAGGUGAGAUAAGUACUUGUAGAUUGGUCAUCAGACUGACGAGACACUUGUUGUGACCUACAAACAUGAGUCUGCUGCCGAGAGUUCUUGCACCUGCCAUGCUGCUUACAGACUUCCGCACAUGACACUUUCUGUCCAGACAGAGAUUGCACGUGAAGGUACAGUCUGUAUGUCAUGCUGUUCACACAACUGAUAUCUACCUGCUUAAUGUGAUUAAUGGUGUCUUUACUACACUGGAUAUCGGUGAUAACUCUCUCCUUACCAUGCAUUUGUCUGCGACUUUUGACACAAAUAAUCACACUUUGAACGAAUAGCAGGGCUGAGUCUUGUGAGCCGUGUGACGAGAUGUGAGGAGAGUGAAUGACAUGUGUACGCAAAGUGCGAGUAAUGUACGUAACAUGUGAAAAUUGUGAACGUGUGAGAGUUUAAGUGACGUGUGAAUAAUGCACUAAUAUGUGAACUUUGUAGUAACGUCGCGUGCUGGACCCGGCUGUAUGAAGGAUGGGAACCAGUGUUUGGUAUACUACAGCAAUAUCAACAACAGCACAUCGCCAUGAUCACCAGAGACCGACACAUUAGACUAAUGCCACCUAGUGUCGCCGUAAACGACUGCAACAGCAACCUGAGACAAACCACGUGACAAACGUGUGACAGCAAGCAGGGCUGAGACAAGAGUACAAGGACUUCAUCACACAAGGCUGAGGGGUUAGAGCACUGAGAUCGAAUUCCGAAGCACGGACACGAUAUCCGUCUGGUAGAGCACACGUCAACAGUCGGCUCAGGUGUUGGUCACGGAAGCCUGACUCCACAAGGGAGUGGUGAGGGUAAAGCAAAGAGGGAGUGGGGAUAGGCACCCAGCACGAGCUAGCACCGAAAAGAUUGAGUUUACCCACCUUUUGUUUUGAAAAAAAUGUUACAAAAAGUUAGGGCAUGACCUUUACCCUCUUAACCUCAAAACACACCAAUGUAGCCACGAUCACACACUUUAUAAUAAACACUUGUCAUCGUUCGAUAAUCCUGAUUACAAAAUCCACCUGCGGUCGAUAAAAAUACAAUAAAGUCCUUACAGUGAUUAUUUCUCCAUGUUAUAUAUCAUAGUAAAAUCAUACACCUAGACUUUAUUAUUUAUAAGAACCAUUACUCUAGUCUAAAUAAUGUUAGGCUCUCCACUUUUCGAGGGAUUUUGUUUGCAUAAAAUUCACACCCUCCUCCGAUAAACAUUGUGGAACAGCUUAUAAAGUGAUAACUUAGGUGAAUAAUAUUUUUAACUGAAAAACUCAUGCUGUAUUCACAUACUCCUCACCAGUAAAACUUUAGCCUCUCUGUUUACCUCGAAUGAGUGGACAUCAUCUCCAUAAAAAUUACCACAAAUAAACCCAAAGAGAAAAAUAUUUACAGCACGUAAGCGCAAAACAGAAACAUUCGAUUAAAUCCUAGUUCCUAUGCUUCUUUACUAGAUUACAGCAGUUCACACCCAACCACCUUAAAGUCAAACAAAUAAUAACAUCUAUUGAAAUGCUUCAAAGCCUUUUCUUUUUAAUAAAACUGACAAUAUAGAACUAUUUAAAAAAAUAAAAUUAGCACUGAUGAAAAUAGCAAUGCUGAAUUUUGUAAGUUAUCAGUGCG